AUUGAACGCUGGCGGCAGGCCUAACACAUGCAAGUCGAACGAGUGGCGGACGGGUGAGUAAUGUCUGGGAAACUGCCCGAUGGAGGGGGGUAACUACUGGAAACGGUAGCUAAUACCGCAUACCCUAGGAUGUGCCCAGAUGGGAUUAGCUAGUAGGUGGGGUAACGGCUCACCUAGGCGACGAUCCCUAGCUGGUCUGAGAGGAUGACCAGCCACACUGGAACGGGGACACGGUCCAGCCUCCUACGGGAGGCAGCAGUGGGGAAUAUGUACCAAUGGGCGCAAGCCUGAUGCAGCCAUGCCGCGUGUAUGAAGAAGGCCUUCGGGUUGUAAAGUACUUUCAGCGAGGAGGCGUUACUCGCAGAAGAAGCACCGGCUAACUCCGUGCCAGCAGCCGCGGUAAUAC
rnacentral:rRNA from 1 species